CGCGGGAUUAGAGUUUGAUCAUGGCUCAGAUUGAACGCUGGCGGCAGGCCUAACACAUGCAAGUCGAGCGGCAGCGACAACAAAGAUUCUUCGGAUGACUUGUUGGGCGGCGAGCGGCGGACGGGUGAGUAAUGGCUGGGAACCUGCCCUGACGUGGGGGAUAACAGUUGGAAACGACUGCUAAUACCGCAUGAUGUCUUCGGACCAAAGAGGAGGACCUUCGGGCUUCUCGCGUCGGGAUGGGCCCAGUUGGGAUUAGCUAGUUGGUGAGGUAAUGGCUCACCAAGGCGACGAUCCCUAGCUGGUUUGAGAGGAUGAUCAGCCACACUGGAACUGAGACACGGUCCAGACUCCUACGGGAGGCAGCAGUGGGGAAUAUUACACAAUGGGCGCAAGCCUGAUGCAGCCAUGCCGCGUGUGUGAAGAAGGCCUUCGGGUUGUAAAGCACUUUCAGCAGUGAGGAAGGGUAAUGAGUUAAUACCUCAUUAUCUUGACGUUAGCUGCAGAAGAAGCACCGGCUAACUCCGUGCCAGCAGCCGCGGUAAUACGGAGGGUGCGAGCGUUAAUCGGAAUUACUGGGCGUAAAGCGCAUGCAGGCGGUUUGUUAAGCAAGAUGUGAAAGCCCCGGGCUCAACCUGGGAACCGCAUUUUGAACUGGCAGGCUAGAGUCCUGUAGAGGGGGGUAGAAUUUCA
rnacentral:rRNA from 1 species